GGAUGUGAGGACCAUCUGGCUGUGACAUCUGUCACCCCACUGAUCACCAGGGUUGAUUCGGCUCAUCUGGCUGGCUAGGUGGGUGUCCCCUUCUUCCCUCACCGCUCCAUGUAUGUCCCUCCUGAAGCUGCUCGCUCGGUUGAAGAGGACAGCCUUCCCCGAAUAGAGACAGGCGGUCUUCAGUAGAGGGUAUACGAGUAGCUGUGCUCCUCUGCUAGAACCUCCAAACAAGCUCUCAGGAGAGGAGGGGAAGACAGAGAGGAGGAGAGAAAGAUAGACACCUGCAGACCUGCUUUACCACUUGUGAAAUGAUGCCAUU
ensembl:misc_RNA 7SK 7SK RNA